CGUAACAAGGUUUCCGUAGGUGAACCUGCGGAGGGAUCAUUAAUAGUACGGCCGCCGUGGAGAAAUCCGCGGGGGAUCGGUAUUACAACCCUUUGUGAACCAAACUUUGUUGCUUCGGGGGAGACCCCGCCGUCACGGCGGUGGUGCCCCCGGUGGCCAUCAAACAAACUAUGCAUCUUUUGCGUCGGAGUCUUGAAUAGAAUUCAAACAAAACUUUCAACAACGGAUCUCUUGGUUCUGGCAUCGAUGAAGAACGCAGCGAAAUGCGAUAAGUAAUGUGAAUUGCAGAAUUCAGUGAAUCAUCGAAUCUUUGAACGCACAUUGCGCCCCGUGGUAUUCCGCGGGGCAUGCCUGUUCGAGCGUCAUUUCACCACUCAAGCCUGGCUUGGUAUUGGGCGCCGCGGUCGAUUGAUCGCGCGCCUUAAAGUCUCCGGCUGAGCAGUCUGUCUCCGAGCGUUGUGACACAUGUCCCUAGGGAGGACAGGUCUGCCGCGCCCGUUAAAUCUUUUAACAGGUUGACCUCGGAUCAGGUAGGGAUACCCGCUGAGUUUAAGCAUAUCAAUAA
rnacentral:rRNA from 1 species